rnacentral:rRNA from 1 species
AAUGAACGUUGGCGGCAUGGAUUAGGCAUGCAAGUCGAACGCGAAAGAACUGGUGGUAACAUUAGUUCUUGAAAGCGGCGAAAGGGAGAGUAAUACGUAGGGUAUCUGCCCCCGGGACUGGGAUAGCGGCGGGAAACUGCCGGUAAUACCAGAUAAUGUCUCCGGACCAAAGGUGUGAUUCCACCUGGGGAUGAUCCUGCGUCCUAUUAGCUAGUUGGCGAGGUAAUGGCUCACCAAGGCGAAGAUGGGUAGCGGGCGUGAGAGCGUGGCCCGUCUCACUGGGACUGAGACACUGCCCAGACACCUACGGGUGGCUGCAGUCGAGAAUCUUCCGCAAUGGGCGAAAGCCUGACGGAGCGAUGCCGCGUGCGGGAUGAAGGCCUUCGGGUUGUAAACCGCUGUCAGUGGGGUGGAAAUUGGAAGAGGUUCUCCUCUUUAUUGACCUAACCGCAGAGGAAGUCCGGGCUAAGUACGUG